CGAAUGCUGACAUAAGUAACGAUAAAGCGGGUGAAAAGCCCGCUCGCCGGAAGACCAAGGGUUCCUGUCCAACGUUAAUCGGGGCAGGGUGAGUCGACCCCUAAGGCGAGGCCGAAAGGCGUAGUCGAUGGGAAACAGGUUAAUAUUCCUGUACUUGGUGUUACUGCGAAGGGGGGACGGAGAAGGCUAUGUUGGCCGGGCGACGGUUGUCCCGGUUUAAGCGUGUAGGCUGGUUUUCCAGGCAAAUCCGGAAAAUCAAGGCUGAGGCGUGAUGACGAGGCACUACGGUGCUGAAGCAACAAAUGCCCUGCUUCCAGGAAAAGCCUCUAAGCAUCAGGUAACAUCAAAUCGUACCCCAAACCGACACAGGUGGUCAGGUAGAGAAUACCAAGGCGCUUGAGAGAACUCGGGUGAAGGAACUAGGCAAAAUGGUGCCGUAACUUCGGGAGAAGGCACGCUGAUAUGUAGGUGAAGUCCCUCGCGGAUGGAGCUGAAAUCAGUCGAAGAUACCAGCUGGCUGCAACUGUUUAUUAAAAACACAGCACUGUGCAAACACGAAAGUGGACGUAUACGGUGUGACGCCUGCCCGGUGCCGGAAGGUUAAUUGAUGGGGUCAGCGCAAGCGAAGCUCUUGAUCGAAGCCCCGGUAAACGGCGGCCGUAACUAUAACGGUCCUAAGGUAGCGAAAUUCCUUGUCGGGUAAGUUCCGACCUGCACGAAUGGCGUAAUGAUGGCCAGGCUGUCUCCACCCGAGACUCAGUGAAAUUGAACUCGCUGUGAAGAUGCAGUGUACCCGCGGCAAGACGGAAAGACCCCGUGAACCUUUACUAUAGCUUGACACUGAACAUUGAGCCUUGAUGUGUAGGAUAGGUGGGAGGCUUUGAAGUGUGGACGCCAGUCUGCAUGGAGCCGACCUUGAAAUACCACCCUUUAAUGUUUGAUGUUCUAACGUGGACCCGUGAUCCGGGUUGCGGACAGUGUCUGGUGGGUAGUUUGACUGGGGCGGUCUCCUCCUAAAGAGUAACGGAGGAGCACGAAGGUUGGCUAAUCCUGGUCGGACAUCAGGAGGUUAGUGCAAUGGCAUAAGCCAGCUUGACUGCGAGCGUGACGGCGCGAGCAGGUGCGAAAGCAGGUCAUAGUGAUCCGGUGGUUCUGAAUGGAAGGGCCAUCGCUCAACGGAUAAAAGGUACUCCGGGGAUAACAGGCUGAUACCGCCCAAGAGUUCAUAUCGACGGCGGUGUUUGGCACCUCGAUGUCGGCUCAUCACAUCCUGGGGCUGAAGUAGGUCCCAAGGGUAUGGCUGUUCGCCAUUUAAAGUGGUACGCGAGCUGGGUUUAGAACGUCGUGAGACAGUUCGGUCCCUAUCUGCCGUGGGCGCUGGAGAACUGAGGGGGGCUGCUCCUAGUACGAGAGGACCGGAGUGGACGCAUCACUGGUGUUCGGGUUGUCAUGCCAAUGGCACUGCCCGGUAGCUAAAUGCGGAAGAGAUAAGUGCUGAAAGCAUCUAAGCACGAAACUUG
rnacentral:rRNA from 1 species